rnacentral:sRNA from 1 species
GCUAGGCAAGGUGGUGCAUGAUUGUAAUCCCAGCAACUUGGGAGGCUGAGGCAGGAGAAUCACAAAUUCAAGGUCAAAGUCAGCCUCAGCAACUCAGUGAGAUCCUGUCUUAA